CAAGUGUUCUUUUCUGGUAAUACGAGUUUCAGACAUCAGCAUUAUCUUUAUUCCUUGAUUAUCUAAGAAGAAUUCCAGCUCGUUUUUAUACUCAAUUGGACUGUUGCCGUUCCAAAGCUAUGCGUAAGGGUUCCAUCUUGGGAGUACAGAUUCAUCGCAGUCAAUAUAAAGAUCGCACCGGUAGCUUUCAUCCUUUAACUUUCUUUAAACCCGACACCUACAUGUAUCAGUGUGCACCAGGAAUGACGACGUCAUAUUUCUUGAAAUAUCCAACGAAUUAUGUCAAACACAAAAUGCCAAUAGUUUUACCUCUCACUUAUGAAAGGAGGAUGCAGACACCAUACAUUCCAGAUUUAUCUCUGUCUGGGAUAUAUAAUAAAUCAAGUUGUAUUGCUUACAAACGAUAGCUUAUUAUACGUGUUAAUGCUGCUAUAAACUGCUGCAAGUUGUUAAACGUUGUUUUCAAAUAUACUCUGGUGGUGAUUCUACUGCUUUAAAACAGAUUUCCUUGACGAUGAAAUUUUUUUUACUGCCGAUGGGAGUGUGUGACUUAACUUGAUCAUGAAUUAUUUCUUGCG